UACGUAGGGGGCAAGCGUUGUCCGGAUUUAUUGGGCGUAAAGAGCGUGUAGGCGGCCAGAUAGGUCAGCUGUGAAAACUCGAGGCUCAACCUCGAGACGUCGGUUGAAACCAUCUGGCUAGAGUCCGGAAGAGGAGAGUGGAAUUCCCGGUGUAGCGGUGAAAUGCGUAGAUAUCAGGAGGAACACCUGUGGCGAAAGCGGCGCACUGGACCACAACUGACGCUGAGGCGCGAAAGCUAGGGGAGCAAACAGG
rnacentral:rRNA from 1 species